rnacentral:rRNA from 1 species
CAAUAGCGUAUAUUAAAGUUGUUGCGGUUAAAAAGCUCGUAGUCGGAUUUUGGCUGAGAACGAUCGGUCCGCCGUUAGGUGUGCACUGAUUGGUCUCAGCUUCCUGGUGAGGAGGUGUGCUUCACGGCCACUUAGUCACCGUGGUUACUUUGAAAAAAUUAGAGUGUUCAAAGCGGGCUUACGCUUGAAUAUAUUAGCAUGGAAUAACACCAUAGGACUCCUGUCCUAUUUCGUUGGUCUCGGGACGGGAGUAAUGAUUAAGAGGAACAGUUGGGGGCAUUCGUAUUUCAUUGUCAGAGGUGAAAUUCUUGGAUUUAUGAAAGACGAACUUCUGCGAAAGCAUUUGCCAAGGAUGUUUUCAUUGA